UUACCUUGUAUGAAACAUGAACACUUCGUGUUCUCCGUAAAAAAUGCACUUUAAUUUUUACACAAAUAUUUAAGCUUGUUUGUUGAUCAAAUAUUGAGCAUUCUUUUUGGCUGAUUAUCAAUCAAAUGCAUUGUCGACCAGAAAUUAAAAAAAUUUAGUUUAUAUUUAUGUAUUUGAUGCAGAUGGUCAAGUUAGUUGUUGAGAUCUUCUUGAUGAAAGAAGUUUCUGUGAUGAAUUUUCUAAUUCGAGGUCUUUUCCUGAUAAAGCUGCAGCAGUGGCUGCAAACAUCGUGAAUAAGCUUGUUAAGAAUCAUUUAUGCACGGGCUGCAGUGCUGAAUUAAUGUAUGUCCUGGAACCAACCAAGAAGGUUGAGGCUGUCAAGUUAAUUGAUGACUGAUUAAUGAUCUUGUUUCUAUGUACGGAUACUACUACUCUCAUUUUUCACGCCUAGCAAGUUAAUUGAAGACGGAAUAAUGAUCUGUUUCUAUGUUGAUAUGCCAAAAAAAAUAUAUACGCAGGAUACAAAAAUGCAUGUUUGUGAUGAAGAAAAGAUGAUUAUCCAUUACAAAAGGUAUGUUAUUACUUUAUAGCAAAAUUAUUAUACUUUUUGAAAAGUUUAGAUUUAAACACCUACAAAUGCAACAUAUAAUUACCUCAAAAAGCUCAUCACCUCCCUUGUUUUGUGCACCUUCAAACAGAGAAUCCUAAUGAAAUACAGUAAUGUCAUUAAAAUAAGAUUUAUAAUUUUUAUAGAACUUGAGAUUUAUAUUUCUUAAUAAAAAGUAGCACUUGCAGUGUAUUUUAGUGAAGGAUGACAAUAUUCCUUGAAAAGAGAUUCAUCAUCAGCAAAUUUUAGAACUUUGUAGACUUCAUCCUGCUUGUAUAUAUUAGAUUCCUUCACCAUGACCUUAAACAUGAGUUUUUUUUCAACGAUAUCAUCCAGUUCACUUGGAUACGGAUAUUCAUCAUCAUCAAUUAAGCCCUCCUUUAGCUCUUUUGCAGUUUUUCCCAUAUGUUGAACAGCCUCACAGUUCCAAAGUAAUAGGGUUAUAAGACCAUUUCCAUCCAUUACACGAACUUGUAGCCUAUACCUGAAAUUCAUUCUUUAUCAUACUUGCCAAUUGAAGCAUGUAUGCGAUCGCCCUAAUUUGAGCCAGAGAAUUAGUAUUGUUCAGUGUAUGUACAACGUUAAAAAUAAAAAAGGAAAUUAUUAAUGUAAACACCGUGAAAUAUGAAAAAGUAGUAAAAAGUAAUUAGUACCUUAGAAUCCUGUAAAACCAUAUCUAAUGAAUAUGGUACAUCAGGUUUGAAUUUAUCUUGCAAUUGCCAAAGGCGAAUAAUUCUUACUCUCAAAUUCCAUUGCAUAGAACUGCUUGUAAUUUGUGAGAUGCUAUGAAAAGCCAUAUAUGAUUAUGCAAUUGCCAAAGGUGAAUAAUUCUUACUCUCAAAUUCCAUUGCAUAGAACUGCUUGUAAUUUGUGAGAUGCUAUGAAAAGCCAUAUAUGAUUAUGGCAGUACUACGUAAAUUGUAGAAUGUCAGAAAUAUAAGGACAUGUAUGAACUGCAAAAAAUGUAGAACCUAGUAAGGAUUAUAUAUGAAUAAGAAAAUGAGUUGUAAUGAAAGACAAUUUAGUGGGUGGUUUUAAAACCAACUCCUUCAAGCUAUCCAUAAUUAAAAGGA